GUGGGCGUGGUGUAGUGGUUAACACGACUGGCUGUGACCCGGUAGAUCGAGGGUUCGAUCCCCUCCGCCCACCCCA
rnacentral:tRNA from 1 species